rnacentral:rRNA from 1 species
ACCAGACUCCUACGGGAGGCAGCAGUGGGGAAUAUUGCACAAUGGGGGAAACCCUGAUGCAGCGACGCCGCGUGAGUGAAGAAGUAUUUCGGUAUGUAGAGCUCUAUCAGCAGGAACGAGACAAGACGGUACCUGACUAAGAAGCCCCGGCUAACUACGUGCCAGCAGCCGCGGUAAUACGUAGGGGGCAAGCGUUAUCCGGAAUCACUGGGUGUAAAGGGAGCGUAGACGGCUGUGCAAGCCUGAAGUGAAAGGCGGGGGCCCAACCCCUGGACUGCUUUGGGAACUGUACGGCUGGAGUGCAGGAGAGGUAAGUGGAAUUCCUAGUGUAGCGGUGAAAUGCGUAGAUAUUAGGAGGAACACCAGUGGCGAAGGCGGCUUACUGGACUGUAACUGACGUUGAGGCUCGAAAGCGUGGGGAGCAAACAGGAUUAGAUACCCGCGUA